rnacentral:rRNA from 1 species
GCUGGCGGCGUGCCUAAUACAUGCUGUCGAGCGAACUGAUUAGAAGCUUGCUUCUAUGACGUUAGCGGCGGACGGGUGAGUAACACGUGGGCAACCUGCCUGUAAGACUGGGAUAACUUCGGGAAACCGAAGCUAAUACCGGAUAGGAUCUUCUCCUUCAUGGGAGAUGAUUGAAAGAUGGUUUCGGCUAUCACUUACAGAUGGGCCCGCGGUGCAUUAGCUAGUUGGUGAGGUAACGGCUCACCAAGGCAACGAUGCAUAGCCGACCUGAGAGGGUGAUCGGCCACACUGGGACUGAGACACGGCCCAGACUCCUACGGGAGGCAGCAGUAGGGAAUCUUCCGCAAUGGACGAAAGUCUGACGGAGCAACGCCGCGUGAGUGAUGAAGGCUUUCGGGUCGUAAAACUCUGUUGUUAGGGAAGAACAAGUACGAGAGUAACUGCUCGUAC